UAACGCGUGGGUAACCUGCCUCACACAGGGGAGUAGCAGUUGGAAACGGAUGAUAAUACCGCAUAAGCGCACAGUACCGCAUGGUACAGUGUGAAAAACUCCGGUGGUGUGAGAUGGACCCGCGUCUGAUUAGCUUGUUGGCAGGGUAACGGCCUACCAAGGCAACGAUCAGUAGCCGACCUGAGAGGGUGACCGGCCACAUUGGGACUGAGACACGGCCCAG
rnacentral:rRNA from 1 species